rnacentral:lncRNA from 1 species
GAUUUAUUUACAUAUAUUAUAUAUCACAACCAAUUCCACUUAUUUAUAUAUUUAUAUAAAUAAAUAUAUAUAUCCCAACUGAUUUUUCAAGAUUGACAUCUUCCUUUAUAUGUAUAGAUAUAUUAUGAAUCCUGGAACGGAUUAACAUACAUAUAUAUUAUCAUAAUCAAAUACCUGCACCUUUUUUCGCUGAAUAGCAUANCCCUUGUUUUCAUGCGUUUUAUGAAGAUACAAAUCAAAUUCAUUUAGUUNAAUNGGAAAAAAGGUCAUUUUACUCUCUUAAAGUAGUAAAAGCUUCCUAAACGUAGCAAUCUCUAUAUUCUUGUUCGAUACUGACAUUGCGGCUUUUAUAGCUGCUUCUUCCCACUAAUUAAUUUUCAAGUGCAGCAAUUUUCAAAAGUAAAGCUGAAGAAUUUUCAUCAAAACCAUGGCUCGCUAAUGUUGCGACAUCUGGAACAAAACCAUAUGCGAAGAAGGGUGUAAUCCCUUUACACCNAGUUGAUUGCCUCNGUAGUCACCANAACCCUANUCGCACCGGGCUGCCUGNAAAAAAGGGCAUGGCUUGAAAGUCUAUACAAUAAUAUAUUUUCUCAGCGUGGAGUGCAAGAAUUCAACAAAUUCUGAGGUUUCGCUGCCACCUGCACCAACCUUGUUCAUCAUAGCUUGGAGCAUAUAGUUCAAAUUCAUCAUCGUGGAACGUGGGAGAAGCAAAAGUGUUACACCCGAUUAUUAAA